UGCCCCGUGGCUUAGUUGGUUACGGCGUCCGACUGUUAAUCGGAAGAUCGAGAGUUCAAGUCUCUCCGGGGCAG
rnacentral:tRNA from 1 species